CGAGGAGAUUUUCUUCUGGCUUUUUUUGCCCUUCGGGGCAGGCGAGGUGAUCGAUGUCAAUUUAUGAAAUUAGGCGUAAGGUUGCUCUCCUUCGUCUCUGUUUCGGUAUGCAUAGUUUUGAGUUUGGUUUUGCAGAUACUGUGCAAGUCGAUUGGUUUUGGAGACUUUAGUCUAGCGGUUACUGGAUUUCGGUUUGUGCAUUGGAGGUCUGAUGGUAGUACUUUUAUUUGCUCUUGAAGAUCUUUAUCUUUCUCCUUAGUUGCUGUACAACCAGCCUGGUAUGUCCGAUGAGGCUGAUCAAGUGUUAUUGGUGGUUUUCUUUUCCUGUGUGCUUUCGGUUGGUGGUUUUGUUAGCUGGCUGCACUAUUUUCUAAGAUUAGUGCUUUACGAAUUUAGACUGAUUUUUUGAGUUAGGUUAUUGGCUUUGACCUUUGUGUAUUUGACUAUGUAGCUUUUGUUGUAUAUAUCCUUUAUGGCAUGUGUUA